GAUGAACGCUGGCGGCGUGCCUAAUACAUGCAAGUCGAGCGAACAGACGAGGAGCUUGCUCCUCUGACGUUAGCGGCGGACGGGUGAGUAACACGUGGAUAACCUACCUAUAAGACUGGGAUAACUUCGGGAAACCGGAGCUAAUACCGGAUAAUAUAUUGAACCGCAUGGUUCAAUAGUGAAAGACGGUUUUGCUGUCACUUAUAGAUGGAUCCGCGCCGCAUUAGCUAGUUGGUAAGGUAACGGCUUACCAAGGCAACGAUGCGUAGCCGACCUGAGAGGGUGAUCGGCCACACUGGAACUGAGACACGGUCCAGACUCCUACGGGAGGCAGCAGUAGGGAAUCUUCCGCAAUGGGCGAAAGCUUGACGGAGCAACGCCGCGUGAGUGAUGAAGGUCUUCGGAUCGUAAAACUCUGUUAUUAGGGAAGAACAUAUGUGUAAGUAACUGUGCACAUCUUGACGGUACCUAAUCAGAAAGCCACGGCUAACUACGUG
rnacentral:rRNA from 1 species